GGUCAGUUGAACUUCAGUAGUCGUUCAGGAGAGAUGUGCUGCCCCUCGUACUGCCACCCCCGCCGGCUUUACCGCUUCCUCAUCCUUUUAAUACACCUAAAUAACGUGUGGUAACUGAGGAGUGCUGUGCCUGGCUGUGUCUGCUGCAACACUGACCAGUCUGAGGAGUGCUGUGCCUGGCUCUCUGCUGCAACACUGACCAGUCUGAGGAGUGCUGUGCCUGGUUGUGUCUGCUGCAACACUGAUCAAAACAGCAACCUUGACCAGUCUGACCCAUAACAUAGUGUUAUAUGGAGAUGCAGCAGUUGGAGACGUCGUUAGAGGUGGACAGGGCCCACUUGUAAGGUACCUACUUGCUGCUGGACGAAGAGACGCAAGAUGUCUUAAGGAAACACGCCCAAUGUUUCCACCCGUCCCGGGGAUCGAACCAUGGGACACAAUGUGAGAAGAGUGCGCUUCCAACCGAGCAACGGGACAGCCUUAAAAAACUAGAUCUUCCAACACUCUGCGAGAGUAUGUUAAUGUACUUAGCAUACAGCAAAAAACGUAAAAGGUGUAUAGAAAAUCUAUGUAAAUGAAUUUACCAAUAUCGUGUUGACAUUCUUGAGAGAGAUGGAUAAUCCAGGUUGCAUGACAACGUUUCGCCCUGUGUAGAGCUUUAUCAAGUCGUUUCUCUAUGUGGAGCUUUAUGAUGUUAUGUUUCACUCUCUGUAAAUCCUUAAACAUUGCUUUACUCUAUGCAGAACUUUUUUUUUACUCAGGGUUUGACAAGGUUAAGGAUCCCUAGCUUUAUUGACAGCUAUUUACAGGUUAAGGAUUCCUAACUUUAUUGGCAAGCUAAGAGCUGUUACCUACAUCAGCUCAUUUGAAAGCUUUUUAAGUCGUGACUUGAUUACUCUCCAUAAAGCCUUUACCUCCCUUAUGUUGGCAAUACGCCAUUUACAUCUACUCCUAAGAGUGCUUAAAAUACGCCAGCAUUAUGAACAUCAAAAUGGUAUGCAAUACCGACAGGUUGUUAGGUAAGACUAUCAGAUAGUUCCUGACCAUGGAACUGAACUUCUCCAGGCCGAGGGACUGACAACCUCAAAUUCUACGACUUCAAGGGUGAUGGACUGAUUACAUCGUCUUCACAUCUCUACUGUUCCUGCCUACUUUCUGUAUUCGACUGAAGAAGCCUACUGUGUAGGCGAAACGUUUCGGAAUAAAGUUGUCUAACUGUUGCAUAUGUCUUACCACGCCAGCAUUAGCGUAUACUCCCACAUACCACCUGUCUGGGGUCCCAAUAUAUCUUAGGAAUUCUUGCGUAGUACUCAACAUUCCAGUCAGAAUCAAUAGCUAAGAUUCGUAAAUCUUACCAAAGGUUCUCCUUGCUUCCCCCGCCUAGACCAACAGGAUUUCUAAGAGGAAUCUGAGGAUACUAUCCUCAAGAGGGUCAGAUUUAUAGGCAGUGUGAUGAAUGGCAGGCUAUUGCAACCUGCUAGAUAUAUUCAUCACAUUUGUCAGACACUGCAACAUCAUGGGAUCUUGGUACAAAGACUUCAACGCUUGCCCAACCUUUGGACGACGACCUACUUACGCUAGUGGCAGGUCCCACUGUGAUCCCGCCGCCUCCUGCUUCAACUCAUCUCACCGCAGUAUAUAAGCCACCUCUCUGGCCCUAUUCUGCACUUCCUACAAGAGUGAUGGACUGAACACAUC